rnacentral:rRNA from 1 species
AGAUUGAACGCUGGCGGCAUGCUUUACACAUGCAAGUCGAACGGUAACAGGCCGCAAGGUGCUGACGAGUGGCGAACGGGUGAGUAAUGCAUCGGAACGUGCCCAGUCGUGGGGGAUAACGCAGCGAAAGCUGUGCUAAUACCGCAUACGAUCUAUGGAUGAAAGCGGGGGACCGAAAGGCCUCGCGCGAUUGGAGCGGCCGAUGUCAGAUUAGCUAGUUGGUGGGUAAAGGCCCACCAAGGCGACGAUCUGUAGCUGGUCUGAGAGGACGACCAGCCACACUGGAACUGAGACACGGUCCAGACUCCUACGGGAGCAGCAGUGGGGAAUUUGGACAA